CUGUCACCUUAUAUAUUUUUACUAUGUACAGAAAUACUUGGUAUACUUAUACGAAAUAAUGACAAAGUUAAAGGAAUCACUAUAGAUGACUCAGAGUAUCUCAUCUCACAAUAUGCAGAUGAUACCUCUCUUAUACUUGAUGGAUCACCUGAAUCUUUGGAUGCAUCUCUUCGUACUCUAGAUAAAUAUGCAGAUUUAUCAGGUCUUAAUAUAAACUUAGACAAGACCAAGG
rnacentral:lncRNA from 1 species